GCUGGCCUCGGUGAACAUUCAACGCUGUCGGUGAGUUUUGGUAUGGAUCACAUAGAAACCAUCGACCGUUGACUGUGCCCCGAGGCUCGCCUCUCAC
rnacentral:pre_miRNA from 1 species